AUGUGCAUCUUGAAUUAUCUGGACGAUUGGUUGAUUUUAGCCCACUCAAGAGAUGUGCUAAUCAGUCAUGUGGAAACACUGCUUCACCAUUUGGAUACGCUGGGACUGCGUGUGAAUAUGCAGAAGAGCGUGUUUUUACUGAGUCGGACUAUAACAUAUCUGGGAGUAUGUUUGGACUCGAUGGCGAUGCGAGCCCAUCUCUCUCAAGAGCGCAUAGAGGCAAUUUCUUCGACUCUGCAUCAUUUCAGACUGGGCAGGUCGGUUUCACUGAGGGAAUUUCAGGGACUGAUGGCGGCGGCUUCUUCAUUGUGCCAUCUGGGUCUGCUGCAUAUGCGGCCGCUACAGUUUUGGCUGAAGACUCGAGUUCCGUGGUAUUCGGGUCUCAAGCGCAUUACGGUCACUCACAGUUGCGUCAGCACUCUGAGACCGUGGAGCAGCCUGGAUAUAUUCAGCCCAGGAGUUCCUUUGGGUAUAGUGACGCAGCGCACCGGGGUCUGGACGGACGCAUCAACUUCAGGCUGGGGAGCAGUGCCUGGGCGUACCUGCCUCAGGCCUGUGGUCGGAGUCACAGAGAAGGUGGCACAUAAACCGUUUGGAAUCGGAAACGGUGUCCUUAGCCCUACAAGCCUUUCGGUCGAAAUUGGAGUGGCAACAUGUACUGAUUCGAACCGACAACACGUCUGUGGUCUCGUACAUAAAUCGGCAGGGCGGUGUGCGUUCCAGAGCUCUAUUCAAAUAGGCAGCGAGUCUCCUGUUGUGGGCAGACCGACACUUUCUCUCCAUAAGAGCGGCGCACAUCCCCGGUAUCCUGAACCGUGGAGCAGACAUGCUUUCGAGGAACGGGAUUCCUCAAGGAGAGUGGAGGCUUCACCCAGGAUCAGUUCAAAUGAAUUGGGAUCAAUUCGGGAGGGCGGAAGUGGAUUUGUUUGCCACAAGCGAGAAUAUGCUUGUGGCAAAGUGUGUGGACACAGUGCUUUCUCCCCUCAGAUUGAGCGGAAUGCGCAUCUUCUCAGACGUUCUUCUCGAUAUCUCACUCCCCGCUGCCGGGAGAUGCUCUGA
ensembl:lncRNA